UAAAUUGGAUGGGAACUGUGUGCAGGGUC
rnacentral:piRNA from 1 species